CGUACGUUAGGAGAGGAACAAACUCCGGGACAUCACCCAGGCGGAUGAGCGAUUUUCUGGAGGGGUUGAUGUUCUCCAAAGUUUUUGGCGUCCCAAGGAAGCACAUGCCUUUAAGAAACGGUGUCGGAGGAAUCUUGGAAGAAAGGAGCUGGCAUUAUGGGCUGCACCACCAUGCCCAGUGAGGAGAGUUUUCUACUAUCAUAUUGAAGUUCCUUGCAUGGAGCACCCACUACCUACCAUAGAGGAUGAAGACAGCUAUUUAUAAGUGGCAGAGUUUUAUGGCAUUUGACAUUUAGGAAUACUGAUUCUGGGUUUAAGGGCACUUGCUCAUUGAAUUUAAUUGUACUGUGGAUAUAGAUACCCAUGGAGAGCUAGCUUGUCAUGUAAAACUUUAACCGUAUCAAACAUCCUUCAUCAGUGUGGUAGAUUGACAACUGGUGGUCAACGUGUAACACCCAACUGAACUGAUCAGCAUGGUGCUGGGUGUGGAAGGCCCACUUGUGGAUUGUUGCCAACAGUGGAAAAAGGAGAACUGGAGAGAAAGAGAUGGUGCUGAUGAUUCUCUUAGAAAAGGGAGUUGCGCUGGCCUUCCUGAUAGGAACUUGGCUGUUUUCAUUGUCAGAGAAGCUUGGGACCUGGUUAUUGGAUUUUUCAUCUUGAGACUCUGAUAUAUAUUUUGAAGGAUUUUUUUAACAACAUUUUGCUUCCUGGUUAUUCUGUCUUUGGAGGAUGAAUUGAGGAAUUUACUUUUUUCUGAUUUUCCAACAUAAUUGGAAUAUCAUAGGAAUUACCUGCACUCUGAAUUUUUGAUGGAGUUUUCUUGCUAAAUCAUUCAAACUUGGAGGCAUUUUAGAGCCACUGAGUUGAUUUUACAACUCACCAAUGGACUGUAAUCUUUAGCUUGGAAAACGUUGAUAUAAAGAGCCUGUGGUGGUGUCCAAUAAAGAGGUGAUCAAGAUGAGAAAAUAAAAGCUCAGCCAUUCAGUAUCUGCUGUAAUUCUUUGUGAGUACACAAACGCGAGUGGUGAAUUGGCUGUUUUCAAACAUCUUUCAAGGUUGUCAUCCUGUUCCAAUAUUGUAAUCUUGCUGAGGCAAAAGAAUAUUUCUGUGAGCAUACUGGAAAUCUUUUAAACAAAAGUUUACCAAGAUGAACUUCUUGUAAUUACUUUAGAUCAAUGAAGACAAUGGAAAAUAUUUCAUAUUUAUCACAUUGUAAUAUAAUCUAUGUGAGUUUGAAGAAAUCAAAUCUGAAUUGUGGAUUGUUGUCUUACCCCUUCACACAUUCCAAUCGUCUCGUUUCUAUUGAUUACAAUUCCAUCAUUUGUAAAAUUAAAAUGAAUUUUUUAUUUUUAUUUAGAGAAAAAAAACAGAAAAAGUGUAGAAAUAAUACAGACUUUUUUUUAAAAAAGACAAAACAAUAGAAAUCACUAGUUGAUAAAUUACAUUUAAGUUCCUUCUCGCCAAGAAAGAAAAAAAAAUCUAUAAUUUAUUAUAAACCUACACAGAGCACCAAUUUCUCUCUCUUGCUGUCUCUUUCUUUCACACAGUCACAUACAAAGUAUUAAGAUAAAGAAAACUUAAUGUGUUCUCCUAUUGAAAUAUACAGUAUAGACAUUGGUUUGUUUUAAUAUAGGAAGUGAUGCGUAGGAUGGUUUCUUUGUCAUGUUUGUUACAUAUUUUCAGAUACAUAAUUUUUAUUCAUAAGACAUUUGUACUAUAGUUGUCUUUUUUUGUUAGUUGCUGAUUGGGUGUAAUGUAGUUUAGUUGCUGUGACUUCAGGAGUUUUUGCAAAUUAAGAGGAAUUAUACUGGUCUAUGCCUGUAUCAUUAAGCAUGUCUAUACUCCAUAAGUGCUAAAUGGCUCAUGUUUAAAUACUUGUUCUAACUGCUGCCAGGUACCUCUAUGAAUGAUAUUUGGUAACUUAUGUUUACAUUUAAGAUAUAAAUGUCUGUAUUUCCCACCACAAUUAAUCGCUUAUGUUAGCCAGUCAUAUAACCAUCCAUGCUCUACAAUGAGAUAUGACUAAGAGAUUUGAUGUUUUUAAUUUACCACUGUCUGGGAAAAUUCCUGUGGGGUGAAAGAGUCUCUGCUCCAGCUGUACUGGGCUAUAUUUAGUUCCUCAAAUGCCUUUGGUCAUUUUGUCUUUUUACAAACUUUUUUGGUGGAAAAAUUCAAAAAUAGAUACAGAAUGCUAGUAUAAUGAACCCCACUUAUUCAUUGCC